AGAGUUUGAUCAUGGCUCAGGAUAAACGCUGGCGGCGUGCCUAACACAUGCAAGUCGAACGCCCUGCGCAAGCAGGGAGUGGCGGACGGGUGAGGAACACGUGGGUAUCUACCCAAAAGUGAGGAAUACCGGCGAGAAAUCGCCGACAAUACCGCAUACGAUCGCGAGAUCAAAGCCCGCAAGGGCGCUUUUGGAUGAGC
rnacentral:rRNA from 1 species